GCCCGCGGCAGGAACCAGGCGGACGAUAGCCUGCAUGCGGCACUCGCGGCUAGGGCAAGGCGGCUAGCCUUGCGGUUGGCAGCCCACGGCCAGGAGGAACCAGAGGUCCAGACAGCCGGCGGCCUGCCCACGCCGCUCGUAGCCAGGGCUCAACGAAGCAGCCGGCGCAGCUCGCAUCUGCGGCUCGUUGGAGACCAACGCUCCUCAUCUCUUCCGUCCGCCGUCCCAACUCCCGAGCCCCACUCGCGCCUAGCUGCUCGGCCGCCUGACCCCUCAACCCUAGCGUGGAGGAGGCGUCGCGGAUUGGCCGACGUCGCGGCGGACAGCGGCAAGCGCUCCGACCGGCCGACCCAGCCCAUGAGCGUCGUACCGCGCGGGGGCUUGGCGGCGAGGGCGGCCGGACCAGCAAGCAGAAGCGACAGCCCACAGCUAGCCGGACCAGCAGCCUCCAGGCAAAUCGAGCAGACCAGUGAGGCAGUGAAUUGUGAAGCAAGGAGGGAGGAGAUCAGGAUUUCGGAGACUCAUUGACCAGUCUUCUGGAAGGUAAGGAACCACAAGUUGUUUGAUGGCGUGAUUUUGAUGUGCAAGCUAUGGAGUCCCUGCUGCUGGAACAUCUCAAGCUACUGUUGUUCUCUUCCUGUAACUUUCUUUGGUACUGGAACUUAAUUUGUAUAGUUUACUCUUGAGAUGAAUGCAUGAUUCAGAUGGGCUUCUCCCUGUUGCUCUUA